UACGUAGGGGGCAAGCGUUGUCCGGAUUCAUUGGGCGUAAAGAGCUCGUAGGCGGCUUGGCAAGUCGGGUGUGAAAACUUCAGGCUCAACCUGGAGCGGCCACUCGAUACUGCCAUGGCUUGAGUCCGGUAGGGGACCACGGAAUUCCUGGUGUAGCGGUGAAAUGCGCAGAUAUCAGGAGGAACACCGGUGGCGAAGGCGCUGCUCUGGGCCGAAACUGACGCUGAGGAGCGAAAGCGUGGGUAGCAAACAGG
rnacentral:rRNA from 1 species